rnacentral:lncRNA from 1 species
UAGCAGCUUCGGGAUGAGCCCCCACAAAGGCAUGUGGGAAGGGGCAGGUAGGUCCCACCACCAUUAAGCCCUCCAAGGGCCAACCUGAGGCAAGGGUCGGGGGUGGGGAGGGUGGCAGGCAUGCACGUCUGACGUGCAGGUAGUCUGAAGGAGGGAAUCCAAACUCUUUUCCAAAAGACUGCCCAGGCAAGACUCUCCUUUAGGACUAAGUGUAGUGUUUUAGAAUUCAGAGAAACCCAAGUCAUAGAACGCUGAUGCUCUAAAGGACAUCAUAAACCAUCUGAUUUUGUGCCCAUUUGCCAGAUGAGAAAAUUAAGGCCCAGAGAAGUGAAGUGAUUCGGACAAAUUGCUGUUAAGUGCUGUGGCUUAGCCACCACUUGCCUGUCCCAGGAUGAUGAAAUAGAUCUCAGGAUGGGGCCCACCCGGCCGCCUCUACCAAUUGGGGGUGUAGGGCCGGAGCCUCUGUUCACUUCAGAAAGGGCUCCCUCAGGACGAUGGCCAGCCUCCUUCCCUCUUGCAGGGCAGAGCCUCUUGGGGGCGCCACCAAAGCUUUUCGUCACAGGCCUUUCACUCCGUUCGUUCGGUAACUGUGGUUCUGUUCUGCUGAUUAGAUUACAAGUCCGAGAGCUCUGGAGGUGAGCACGGAGCUCUCGGCCCGAUGCCUGCAAACUGCGGACACAGCGCUGCAGGUGCCUGGUCACUGCCGCUCGGCCAAGAAGCCAGCAGUGCACGUGCUCACGCUGUUCGUCGGGGCUGGGGAGUCCCCGGGGAGCACGCGCAGCUCCCGGUGUCCAAGGCCGUGCACGCGGAAGCCUGGUCUCUGGGGCAGCAGCACGCCCCGGGAGCUAGAAGUGCCGACUCCCAGCCUUCCCGGCGCCAUCAUCUGUUAAAUUAGAACACAGGAGCGCACUCCUUUACAAAGACAAACUAUGUACAGACACCCGGGAAGCAACUGGAAAAAGCAACUGGUUUGGGGGUUGACAGAUGGGAAGAAAAAGUCAUCGGAGGUGACCUUCACCCACCGGCUGUGCGUGGGGAGAGCCUGAAAUCCCAUUCAUCGAAGCACACACCACAAUAUUCAUUCGGCAAAUAGAAAUACACGUUCAUAAGCGGGAGAAAAAUAAACUCAGGUUUGUGGUUUUUUGUUUUUAUCACAUCUACCAUCACGCUGUUUGGUUUCUCUAAUUGGACAUAAAGGCUAAAGUUUUAAAAGUUUUACAGGGCUUGGAGGGCCUUUGGAGAGGAAUUGCUCAGCAAUUUUGGAGGAGCAAAGAGGCCGACAGGAGUCCCUUGUGUCGCUGGAGGUGGCGGCAAUGUCUGGUCCCAAGAAACUUCACACUCGUCCUCACACUAACCCAAAGGACAGGAGGCCCAACUGGAAAUCUGUGCGUACAAGACCUUUGAGAAUCGCAGCUUUUUCAGAAAAGGGAUGCAUUUUAAACCACCUAGCCCAGCUCUCUCUUUUUUUGUAAUUGUCAAUUUGUCAUCUUAGAAAGUAACACAUCUUCCAGUUGUCCUAACAGUAUGGCCAAAAAUGAAAUUUGGAUAGAUUUCUAGAAAGACCUCGGGCUUUCACGGCAGGAAGGCGACGGCAGAGGGCCCGCCCUGCGGUCCGUGGAGGUUGCUGAGCCCUGGAGCUGGGCUUGAAGUCACAGCCCAGCUCGUCGGCGGCUGAGAGGUCAGUAGCAGGGAGGGUGGGCCCCCGAUUCCUGCAGCUGACUUCUCACGGAGGGUGCUCUGCGGGGACGGGGGCUGAGUUGUGUUCAGCCUCUCCCCGGCUCCACGCAGACUGCAAGCAGAGGGCACUUUGGG